rnacentral:rRNA from 1 species
GACGAACGCUGGCGGCGUGCUUAACACAUGCAAGUCGAGCGAUGAAGUUCCUUCGGGAACGGAUUAGCGGCGGACGGGUGAGUAACACGUGGGUAACCUGCCUCAUAGAGGGGAAUAGCCUUCCGAAAGGAAGAUUAAUACCGCAUAAGAUUGUAGUACCGCAUGGUACAGCAAUUAAAGGAGCAAUCCGCUAUGAGAUGGACCCGCGUCGCAUUAGCUAGUUGGGGAGGUAACGGCUCACCAAGGCGACGAUGCGUAGCCGACAUGAGAGGGUGAUCGGCCACAUUGGGACUGAGACACGGCCCAGACUCCUACGGGAGGCAGCAGUGGGGAAUAUUGCACAAUGGGGGAAACCCUGAUGCAGCAACGCCGCGUGAGUGAUGACGGUCUUCGGAUUGUAAAACUCUGUCUUCAGGGACGAUAAUGACGGUACCUGAGGAGGAAGCCACGGCUAACUACGUGCCAGCAGCCGCAGUAA